UCAUCAUCAUCUUCUUCCUCCUCAAUCCCAUCCUCCUCAUGCUGCUGAGCCACUGUCCUCGAGCGAUGAAACCGUGGCCGUAUAUCCUGCUCACUAUCCGGGAUGGUCUCUUCCUCAACAUCACCCUUAAGCAGGAUAAUAUCUAUAUCUGAGUACUUCAUGCCAUUCACUAACACAGGAAUCAACUUUGGUAGAUGCCUUACAAGUACAUCUUUGCAUAUUGGCUGUUCAGCCAAAGUCAGCCAGAAUUCACAGGCCUCCAGAGCUACAUUCUCAUCUUGGUCUUGGGUUCUCUGCAGCAUGUACUCGACUAUGUUGUGCAUAUGAGGAAGCAGGCGGUCCAUCCGGGCUUCAAGCAACAUCACAAGCGCCCGGCACACGUUCUUCCGCACCUCUGCUUCCUCGUCGCCAGCCAGUGCAAAGAGGUUCUCAAUGAAGGAAUCCAUGUGCAGCAUGAGCGCCUGGGUCCGGCUGAUGAUGAACUGAUUGACACAUGCAACAGCACGAGACCUUAUUUUGGGACUCCUGUGCUUGAAAAACUGUAAAAACUUGGGGAUCAUGAUGUUGAGAGGGCGAUCUAAGACAUCACUGUCUAAAAUCUCUGCAGAGUCCUCACAUAUCUUCUGAAGGGCACCGAAGGCUCCCUCACAAGUGUUGUAGUCUUCGGAAUCCAGCAGGCUACAGAGGUUUGGUAAGAGAUCAGGCCAAUUCUGCAGCUCUCCCUUGGAGGCUAUGGUUGUAAUUAAAAUACCGACAGUGGCUCUGAUCAACGGAGAGGAGUCCCCAAUGUUAUUUAGACAUUCACUCUUGAUGAAGUCUGUCACACCAUUUGGGAAGUUCUGAAAAUGAGCUUUCACAUUGUUCUUCAAGAUCAGACCGCUCAAUGACCGUGUGGGCUCAUCUUCAGAUUUUAAUUUUGUAAGAACAAAAAUCAAGUAGUUGUUAAAAUCUGGAUAUUGAUUGAGUUGUUCCAGUUUUUGUUGCACGGUCCUCUGGAUGGUGGUGUCUGGGGACUGGGACUCCUUGAGCAGCUGCAGGAUCUGCUGAAGCC
rnacentral:lncRNA from 1 species